UGCAAGAUUAAUGCUCUGCUGUGAACACUUCAUCCACAAAAUGGGUUAUGGGAUCAAAUUGAAAGCAAUCAAUAGCGGCAAUAACAUUUACUACCCUCCCGGCUGAUGAGAAGUGACAUCUUUUACUCGACGGGAUGUGUCAUCCUUGCAGGAGGGCAAUUCCAGUAAAAGAACUAUAGGAGCUGUUCAAAAACUCCCCUAUUUGGGCUGGGGUCCGUGAAAGCUCAGCCUGAUCUUCCUGGUUACAGAUGCACAAGGAAGGCAAUGAGAGGAGAAUGUGGACGACAACCGGGACGCGCAACAGAAGGAAAUGUCGACUGGGCGGAAGGAAGCACCAUAGGCCCCAGAAGAAAUCUAUCUCCACCGAUAUUUCCAGGGUACAACAAAGAGGCCCAGGGGAAAUCGACCAGAUGCAAUCAGAAGAGAUAGAGUGCCUGGUUGUCAACAUCUCCUCUACGGAACUAACUGUCGAUCAGAUUAGGGUAUUGGGACGUGGACUGUCCUUCUGCCCUGUGGUGGACACAAAUUAGUUUGAUGUUGAGCUAUAUUUACAAGGUUUUUUCAGGAGACUGAGAUUAAAACGUUUUUUCUCCA